UGGGGUGUAGCUCAGUGGUAAAGCACUUAUCUAGCAUGUGUGAGGCCCUGGGUUUGAUCCCCAGCACUGCAA
rnacentral:tRNA from 1 species